CUUGCUUUUCUGAUGACGAGUGGCGCACGGGUGCGUAACGCGUAUACAAUCUGCCUUCAAGCGGGGGAUAGCCCAUGGAAACGUGGAUUAAUACCCCAUAGUAUAUAGAGAUCACCUGGUCUCUAUAUUAAACAUUUAUGGCUUGAAGAUGAGUAUGCGUCCUAUUAGUUAGUUGGUAAGGUAACGGCUUACCAAGACCGCGAUAGGUAGGGGUCCUGAGAGGGAGAUCCCCCACACUGGUACUGAGACACGGACCAGACUCCUACGGGAGGCAGCAGUGAGGAAUAUUGGACAAUGGAGGCAACUCUGAUCCAGCCAUGCCGCGUGCAGGAAGACUGCCCUAUGGG
rnacentral:rRNA from 1 species